rnacentral:rRNA from 1 species
GUGGGGAAUAUUGGACAAUGGGCGAAAGCCUGAUCCAGCAACGCCGCGUGAGGGAUGACGGCCUUCGGGUUGUAAACCUCUUUCAGUACCGACGAAGCGCAAGUGACGGUAGGUACAGAAGAAGCACCGGCCAACUACGUGCCAGCAGCCGCGGUAAUACGUAGGGUGCGAGCGUUGUCCGGAAUUAUUGGGCGUAAAGGGCUCGUAGGCGGUCUGUCGCGUCGGGAGUGAAAUCUCAGGGCUUAACCCUGAGCCUGCUUCCGAUACGGGCAGACUAGAGGUAUGCAGGGGAGAACGGAAUUCCUGGUGUAGCGGUGAAAUGCGCAGAUAUCAGGAGGAACACCGGUGGCGAAGGCGGUUCUCUGGGCAUUACCUGACGCUGAGGAGCGAAAGUGUGGGGAGCGAACAGGAUUAGAUACCCCAGUAGUCC